rnacentral:snoRNA from 1 species
AAGACUAUACUUUCAGGGAUCGUUUCUAUAGUUUGUUACUAGAAAAGUAUUGUGUGUUUUACAGAAUAUUAUA